CUGCGGAUGACAUCCUACGAAAGUAGGCUUCCGCAAGGACAUCUGUAGAGGUGCUGCAUGGCUGUCGUCAGCUCGUGUCGUGAGAUGUUGGGUUAAGUCCCGCAACGAGCGCAACCCUUGUCUUCUGUUGCCAUCGGGUUAUGCCGGGCACUCUGAAGAGACUGCCGGUGACAAACCGGAGGAAGGUGGGGAUGACGUCAAGUCAGCAUGGCCUUUAUGUCUGGGGCCACACACGUGCUACAAUGGCCGGUACAAACCGUCGCAAACUCGCGAGGGUGAGCUAAUCGGAUAAAGCCGGUCUCAGUUCGGAUUGUAGGCUGCAACUCGCCUGCAUGAAGUUGGAAUCGCUAGUAAUCGCGGAUCAGCACGCCGCGGUGAAUACGUUCCCGGGCCUUGUACACACCGCCCGUCACAUCACGAAAGCCGGCUGUACUAGAAGUCGCUGAGCUAACCCGCAAGGGGGGCAAGCGCCUAAGGUAUGGUCGGUGAUUGGGGUG
rnacentral:rRNA from 1 species